rnacentral:rRNA from 1 species
AACGAACGCUGGCGGCAGGCUUAACACAUGCAAGUCGAGCGCCCCGCAAGGGGAGCGGCAGACGGGUGGGUAACGCGUGGGAAUCUACCCAUCUCUACGGAAUAACGCAUGGAAACGUGUGCUAAUACCGUAUACGUCCUUCGGGAGAAAGAUUUAUCGGAGAUGGAUGAGCCCGCGUUGGAUUAGCUAGUUGGUGGGGUAAAGGCCUACCAAGGCGACGAUCCAUAGCUGGUCUGAGAGGAUGAUCAGCCACACUGGGACUGAGACACGGCCCAGACUCCUACGGGAGGCAGCAGUGGGGAAUAUUGGACAAUGGGCGCAGGCCUGAUCCAGCCAUGCCGCGUGAGUGAUGAAGGCCCUAGGGUUGUAAAGCUCUUUCACCGGUGAGGAUAAUGACGGUAACCGGAGAAGAAGCCCCGGCUAACUUCGUGCCAGCCGCCGCAGUAACAC